rnacentral:rRNA from 1 species
UACGUAGGGUGCAAGCGUUGUCCGGAAUUAUUGGGCGUAAAGAGCUCGUAGGCGGUUCGUUGCGUCGGCUGUGAAAUCCCGAGGCUCAACCUCGGGUCUGCAGUCGAUACGAGCAAACUAGAGUGUUGCAGGGGAGACUGGAAUUCCUGGUGUAGCGGUGAAAUGCGCAGAUAUCAGGAGGAACACCGGUGGCGAAGGCGGGUCUCUGGGCAACAACAUGACGCUGGAGGAGCGAAAGCGUGGGGAGCGAACAGG